AUGGAAAUCCUGCGACGUGCGCGAGAUCCAAAGAGGUGCUUGAGGCAGAUGCGGGUCAAAGUAGAUCAGUUCAUCAAUUCGGAGUUGGGCAAGGAUGAUUUCAAGGGGGAUUUGAAGGAGAAUAAGGGAACAAUGACGGGGCCAACGUUCCCGACCCCAAAUUCCGCCAAAACAGUUACUGCUUCGGUGAGUAAAGGAGAAAAUUUGGCAGUUUCGCAUAAAAUUGAUUGUCUGGUGAAUCCGUGUAGGGAGGUGUCUCCAUUUCAGUUUGAUUUGAGUUUUAACUCCGGUGAUUCCGGGGCGAAAUUUGGGGGAGGAGAGGAUUAUUUCAAGGGUGGGAAUCAGCGGAGGCAAUAUCAAUUUUCUCGGUUACUGCUAGUGUCUUCGGUGCCUCUUGUUUGCUCUGUUUCUCUGUGUCAGGGGAAGAUGGCGUCGAGCACUGAGACGGGCAGCGGUCAGGAGGGAGCGGCGGCUCCUUCCAUGUUGCCCCCCCGGGCCUCGAUCAUUGGUGCUGUCUCUUCGGACGGUACCGAGGUCUGUGAGGCAAGGGGAGAGGAGCUGCCUUCUUCGUCAAUCGUCGAGGCUGCCCCAGGAACUCCUCUAAUGGAGAAGGGGAAAGCUACGAUGGGCGGGCCGUCGGGCUUGGCUCUGACAGUCACGCUGAAUGCCGCCUUUGGGUUCACCGCAGCGCCGGCGCCUCCCCCGCUCCGGAGGAACGGAAAGAGCAAGGCGGCCAUGUUCUCGAGGAUGGACAACAAGCCGAUCGUCAUCGACAUGGAAGCGGCGCUGCGUGCGGUGGCGAGCAAGCUAGCGGCCGCCCGUGUUCUCUCGUCGUACCCGGUCGACCCCAAGGUGGUCGUCAACGAGCUUCGGGGGCCAUGGCGGCUCCGAGGAGAGGCCAUGGCACAACGCCUCACGAGCGAUGACCGCCGUUUCGUCAUCACCUUCGCGGAGGGUGGGGAUCGACAUCACGUUCUGCAUGUUGGGCCAUGGCAUUUCAGAAAUGAUGUUGUGAUCCUAGCGGCUUUCGACGGAGACGGCAAUCCGGCCGAUGUGUGCCUCGACUCCAUCAAGCUAUGGGCACAAAUCUGGGGCCUUCCAGUACCGAUCAAGACGGUGAAGAUGGGCUACAUCCUGGGCGACAAGCUUGGAAAGGUCCUCGCGGUGGGCCACCGAAACAAAAAGAUCGUCGACGACCAUCUCCAUGUCCGGGUCGAGCAUCUCAUCGAUGAGCCCCUGAGGAAGACCAUCGACACGACCCCGGUCGGUAAUUAA
rnacentral:rRNA from 1 species